UGGCCAGAGCCACAGGGUGCUGCCACCACCCUGCGCCUGCCCCAUGGGCGUACGCAAGUGCUCACGGGGUGAUUAGGUAAGGUGUGUGUGAGCACUGCACGCACAUCUCUCUGGCGGCUGUGUAGGAAUUUUCUCUGUCCCAGCACUGGAAAUUUGCCCCUCCUGGUUUCCCCCGCUCUCCCCUAUAUGCUUGCAGAGAAGCCCCAGGAGCAGUGCCUGCAUGGAGGAGGACUCCACCACCGAGUCACAGCCACUGCAGACGCGAUGCCACGGUGCUGCGGGACAGCCGGAGCCACCGCUCUGCUAGGUGCUGGCUGGCCGCAGCACAUGUGACUUGCAAGUAACAGAAUGGCUGAAACAUGCUGCAUGUGUCAUACGUCGGAAGGAAGGGCCGAGGUAGAAUGUCUUGAAGAGCUAAUAACUAUUUGUGUAUCACCGAUAGAUCCAGCACAUGCCAAGCUGCAGGAGUCACUGAAAAGGAAGGGGAGCAGUCAUUGUUAUUUACUCUGAGCCAAGCACAAUGGUAUUUGGACACACUUCCUAUGUUAACGAACUCAAACCAUUUCCAAGUUUAUGGAGCAAAUCCUUUACAACAGCCUGUGGUAUAAAAACAACACAAAAAAUCCAAACCAAGUCCCAGAAACACAGUACCAUGCCUAAUUAUAACCCUGUUUCUCUCAUUGUACAUCACGCAAACCUAAAGUGACCAGUUUAAGGGGGUCAGAGGGUCACUGCUCACAUAAUUUUACACAUACCCAUACGGAGCCCCAAGUUCUCCUUCACCACAUUUUUUUUCUGCGUCAUUAUCUCCCAGAGAUGUACAAAAUACACCCAGUAGCUUUCCAGGCAAGUCGAAAUGAGAUUACAGGCAAUGGACAGAUGCGGGCAUCCUGUGUUCUGUUAAUUUUCCACUCUGCAGCAACACAGCCUUAUUUAUUUUUUUGUCAAGGAUAAAAAAGAGACAUUUGGCCUCCUCCUACAGUCAGGAAGGGAGAAUGGUUAUAGCAAGUGCCUUACCACCAUGAGCUACUACUUGUAAUUUCACCGCCACCUGGCAUUUGUGAAGCUGCUUGUGAGUUGCGCCGGGUACCUCACAGGAAAACCCUCUGCAGCCCCGCGCGCCCUUUGGAGCUGCUCGAGGCCAGCGGCAAGGACCAAAAGCACCGCAUCGCGGAAGGCAUCCACUGUUGGAGAGCUCCCGCUGAUGGUAAAGGCAAACUCACAGAGGAGCCGGGAUGUGGAUCCCAUUGCAUCCAGCGUUAAGGGGCUUUGGGCUCCAAGUGGCUCCACUCGAACCCAGCCAGGAUUUGCCUCCUUGAAGGCUCCGGCAUGCUCUGUUCAAAGAUUUUCAUGAAAAUAGGAAUAAACACUGAUGCAGGCCUGGAAUGUUUGUUCUGGGUUACAAGCAGGA